AACAGUUCUGGCAACGUGAAACAGGUUCAUUAAUGCUGAAUUGAAACCUUUGGAUUAGAAGUCCCAAGGUAAAAAGCCAAAAAUUCUACACAGCAUCAGAGGUGACAGCCUGGCCUCUGGAAUCAGAUGGAUUUGGGUUUGAAGCUCGUCUCUGCUAGUUCCCUGGCUGUGUGAGCUUGGAAAGGAGGGGUGACGCUUCCUUCCCCAAGGAAGUCUGAAGACAAGGCAGUGGACACCCAUCAACAGGGGAGGAUUAUGAGGCUUGCAUACCUACUGCACCAACCCAUACGAAGUCAAUGAACAGGAUGAGGCCAAGUCAAUAAUACAGAUGAAGAGCAGUACAACCAUGUCUUCAUGCCUUACUGAAAAGCAAAGAUGUAUUUUAUAUCUGGAUUUUCUUUGCACUGAUAAAACGAUAUCAGCGGUAUAUAGUGACUUGGGUGUCACUGUAUGCAUGUUUUUUGAAAUCCUAAAAUGAAAUGUAUUUAUCUCCCAAUCAUCUAUUGAAUAAAAGACAAUUGCUUCUGAU
rnacentral:lncRNA from 1 species